CACGUAGGGCGCAAGCGUUGUCCGGAAUUAUUGGGCGUAAAGAGCUCGUAGGCGGUCUGUUGCGUCCGCUGUGAAAACUCGGGGCUUAACCCCGAGCCUGCAGUGGAUACGGGCAGGCUGGAGGCAGGCAGGGGAGAACGGAAUUCCCGGUGGUAGCGGUGAAAUGCGCAGAUAUCAGGAGGAACACCGGUGGCGAAGGCGGGUCUCUGGGCCGAUACUGACGCUGAGGAGCGAAAGCGUGGGGAGCGAACAGG
rnacentral:rRNA from 1 species